rnacentral:rRNA from 1 species
AAUGGGCGCAAGCCUGAUCCAGCCAUGCCGCGUGAGUGACGAAGGCCUUAGGGUUGUAAAGCUCUUUUGGCGGGGAAGAUAAUGACGGUACCCGCAGAAUAAGCUCCGGCUAACUUCGUGCCAGCAGCCGCGGUAAUACGAAGGGAGCUAGCGUUGUUCGGAAUCACUGGGCGUAAAGCGCACGUAGGCGGAUGUGUCAGUCAGGGGUGAAAUCCCGGAGCUCAACUUCGGAACUGCCCUUGAUACAGCACGUCUUGAGUCCGAGAGAGGUGAGUGGAAUUCCUAGUGUAGAGGUGAAAUUCGUAGAUAUUAGGAAGAACACCGGUGGCGAAGGCGGCUCACUGGCUCGGUACUGACGCUGAGGUGCGAAAGCGUGGGGAGCAAA